GUGCUCACUUCGGCAGCACAUAUACUAAAAUUGGAACAAUACAGAGAUUAGCAUGGCCCCCGCGCAAGGAUGACCCGCAAAGUUGUGAAGCGUUCCAGAUUUGU
rnacentral:snRNA from 1 species